UACGUAGGGUGCAAGCGUUGUCCGGAAUUAUUGGGCGUAAAGAGCUCGUAGGCGGUUUGUUGCGUCGGCUGUGAAAUCCCGAGGCUCAACCUCGGGUCUGCAGUCGAUACGAGCAAACUAGAGUGUUGCAGGGGAGACUGGAAUUCCUGGUGUAGCGGUGAAAUGCGCAGAUAUCAGGAGGAACACCGGUGGCGAAGGCGGGUCUCUGGGCAACAACUGACGCUGAGGAGCGAAAGCGUGGGGAGCAAACGGG
rnacentral:rRNA from 1 species